rnacentral:SRP_RNA from 1 species
GCCGGGCAUGGUGGCGAGUGCCUGUAAUCCCAGCUACUCGGGAGGCUGAGGUGGGAGAAUCGCUUGAACCCGGGAGAUGGAGGCUGCAGUGAGCUGAGAUUGCACCACUGCUUUCCAGCCUGGGUGACAGAGCAAGACUCCAUCUCAA